GUUAGUGUAGCUUAUAAAAAGUAUGGCACUGAAAAUGCCAAGAUAAAUUUUAAGGAUUUCACAAACA
rnacentral:tRNA from 1 species